rnacentral:rRNA from 1 species
AUUGAACGCUGGCGGCAUGCCUUACACAUGCAAGUCGAACGGCAGCGGGCCUUCGGGUGCCGGCGAGUGGCGAACGGGUGAGUAAUGCAUCGGAACGUGCCAUUGAGUGGGGGAUAACGUAGCGAAAGUUGCGCUAAUACCGCAUAUUCUGUGAGCAGGAAAGCAGGGGACCGCAAGGCCUUGCGCUCUUUGAGCGGCCGAUGUCAGAUUAGCUAGUUGGUGAGGUAAAGGCUUACCAAGGCGACGAUCUGUAGCGGGUCUGAGAGGAUGAUCCGCCACACCUGGAACUGAGACACGGUCCAGACUCCUACGGGAGGCAGCAGU